GGUUAAGCGACUAAGCGUACACGGUGGAUGCCCUGGCAGUCAGAGGCGAUGAAGGACGUGCUAAUCUGCGAUAAGCGUCGGUGAGGUGAUAUGAACCGUUAUAACCGGCGAUUUCCGAAUGGGGAAACCCAGUGUGUUUCGACACACUAUCAUUAACUGAAUCCAUAGGUUAAUGAGGCGAACCGGGGGAACUGAAACAUCUAAGUACCCCGAGGAAAAGAAAUCAACCGAGAUUCCCCCAGUAGCGGCGAGCGAACGGGGAGGAGCCCAGAGCCUGAAUCAGUGUGUGUGUUAGUGGAAGCGUCUGGAAAGGCGCGCGAUACAGGGUGACAGCCCCGUACACAAAAAUGCACAUAUUGUGAGCUCGAUGAGUAGGGCGGGACACGUGGUAUCCUGUCUGAAUAUGGGGGGACCAUCCUCCAAGGCUAAAUACUCCUGACUGACCGAUAGUGAACCAGUACCGUGAGGGAAAGGCGAAAAGAACCCCGGCGAGGGGAGUGAAAAAGAACCUGAAACCGUGUACGUACAAGCAGUGGGAGCCUCUUAAUGGGGUGACUGCGUACCUUUUGUAUAAUGGGUCAGCGACUUAUAUUCUGUAGCAAGGUUAACCGAAUAGGGGAGCCGAAGGGAAACCGAGUCUUAACUGGGCGUUAAGUUGCAGGGUAUAGACCCGAAACCCGGUGAUCUAGCCAUGGGCAGGUUGAAGGUUGGGUAACACUAACUGGAGGACCGAACCGACUAAUGUUGAAAAAUUAGCGGAUGACUUGUGGCUGGGGGUGAAAGGCCAAUCAAACCGGGAGAUAGCUGGUUCUCCCCGAAAGCUAUUUAGGUAGCGCCUCGUGAAUUCAUCUCCGGAGGUAGAGCACUGUUUCGGCAAGGGGGUCAUCCCGACUUACCAACCCGAUGCAAACUGCGAAUACCGGAGAAUGUUAUCACGGGAGACACACGGCGGGUGCUAACGUCCGUCGUGAAGAGGGAAACAACCCAGACCGCCAGCUAAGGUCCCAAAGUCAUGGUUAAGUGGGAAACGAUGUGGGAAGGCCCAGACAGCCAGGAUGUUGGCUUAGAAGCAGCCAUCAUUUAAAGAAAGCGUAAUAGCUCACUGGUCGAGUCGGCCUGCGCGGAAGAUGUAACGGGGCUAAACCAUGCACCGAAGCUGCGGCAGCGACACUAUGUGUUGUUGGGUAGGGGAGCGUUCUGUAAGCCUGUGAAGGUGGCCUGUGAGGGUUGCUGGAGGUAUCAGAAGUGCGAAUGCUGACAUAAGUAACGAUAAAGCGGGUGAAAAGCCCGCUCGCCGGAAGACCAAGGGUUCCUGUCCAACGUUAAUCGGGGCAGGGUGAGUCGACCCCUAAGGCGAGGCCGAAAGGCGUAGUCGAUGGGAAACAGGUUAAUAUUCCUGUACUUGGUGUUACUGCGAAGGGGGGACGGAGAAGGCUAUGUUGGCCGGGCGACGGUUGUCCCGGUUUAAGCGUGUAGGCUGGUUUUCCAGGCAAAUCCGGAAAAUCAAGGCUGAGGCGUGAUGACGAGGCACUACGGUGCUGAAGCGACAAAUGCCCUGCUUCCAGGAAAAGCCUCUAAGCAUCAGGUAACAUCAAAUCGUACCCCAAACCGACACAGGUGGUCAGGUAGAGAAUACCAAGGCGCUUGAGAGAACUCGGGUGAAGGAACUAGGCAAAAUGGUGCCGUAACUUCGGGAGAAGGCACGCUGAUAUGUAGGUGAAGCGACUUGCUCGUGGAGCUGAAAUCAGUCGAAGAUACCAGCUGGCUGCAACUGUUUAUUAAAAACACAGCACUGUGCAAACACGAAAGUGGACGUAUACGGUGUGACGCCUGCCCGGUGCCGGAAGGUUAAUUGAUGGGGUUAGCGGUAACGCGAAGCUCUUGAUCGAAGCCCCGGUAAACGGCGGCCGUAACUAUAACGGUCCUAAGGUAGCGAAAUUCCUUGUCGGGUAAGUUCCGACCUGCACGAAUGGCGUAAUGAUGGCCAGGCUGUCUCCACCCGAGACUCAGUGAAAUUGAACUCGCUGUGAAGAUGCAGUGUACCCGCGGCAAGACGGAAAGACCCCGUGAACCUUUACUAUAGCUUGACACUGAACAUUGAGCCUUGAUGUGUAGGAUAGGUGGGAGGCUUUGAAGUGUGGACGCCAGUCUGCAUGGAGCCGACCUUGAAAUACCACCCUUUAAUGUUUGAUGUUCUAACGUGGGCCCCUUACCGGGGUUGCGGACAGUGUCUGGUGGGUAGUUUGACUGGGGCGGUCUCCUCCUAAAGAGUAACGGAGGAGCACGAAGGUUGGCUAAUCCUGGUCGGACAUCAGGAGGUUAGUGCAAUGGCAUAAGCCAGCUUGACUGCGAGCGUGACGGCGCGAGCAGGUGCGAAAGCAGGUCAUAGUGAUCCGGUGGUUCUGAAUGGAAGGGCCAUCGCUCAACGGAUAAAAGGUACUCCGGGGAUAACAGGCUGAUACCGCCCAAGAGUUCAUAUCGACGGCGGUGUUUGGCACCUCGAUGUCGGCUCAUCACAUCCUGGGGCUGAAGUAGGUCCCAAGGGUAUGGCUGUUCGCCAUUUAAAGUGGUACGCGAGCUGGGUUUAGAACGUCGUGAGACAGUUCGGUCCCUAUCUGCCGUGGGCGCUGGAGAACUGAGGGGGGCUGCUCCUAGUACGAGAGGACCGGAGUGGACGCAUCACUGGUGUUCGGGUUGUCAUGCCAAUGGCACUGCCCGGUAGCUAAAUGCGGAAGAGAUAAGUGCUGAAAGCAUCUAAGCACGAAACUUGCCCCGAGAUGAGUUCUCCCUGACUCCUUGAGAGUCCUGAAGGAACGUUGAAGACGACGACGUUGAUAGGCCGGGUGUGUAAGCGCAGCGAUGCGUUGAGCUAACCGGUACUAAUGAACCGUGAGGCUUAACCUU
rnacentral:rRNA from 1 species